UGGGGAAUAUUGCACAAUGGGCGCAAGCCUGAUGCAGCCAUGCCGCGUGUAUGAAGAAGGCCUUCGGGUUGUAAAGUACUUUCAGCGAGGAGGAAGGCGACAAGGUUAAUAACCUUGUCGAUUGACGUUACUCGCAGAAGAAGCACCGGCUAACUCCGUGCCAGCAGCCGCGGUAAUACGGAGGGUGCAAGCGUUAAUCGGAAUUACUGGGCGUAAAGCGCACGCAGGCGGUCUGUCAAGUCGGAUGUGAAAUCCCCGGGCCCAACCUGGGAACUGCAUCCGAAACUGGCAGGCUAGAGUCUUGUAGAGGGGGGUAGAAUUCCAGGUGUAGCGGUGAAAUGCGUUAGAGAUCUGGAGGAAUACCGGUGGCGAAGGCGGCCCCCUGGACAAAGACUGACGCUCAGGUGCGAAAAGCGUGGGGAGCAAACA
rnacentral:rRNA from 1 species